AAGGGCCGGCUAACUCCGUGCCAGCAGCCGCGGUAAGACGGAGGGCCCUAGCGUUGUUCGGAAUCACCUGGGCUUAAAGAGCGUGUAGGCGGCUCGGUAAGUGUCUUGUGAAAGCCCUCGGUUCAACCGAGGAAUGGCCUUGGCAUACUGUCGGGCUUGAGGCAAGUAGAGGCGACUGGAACGUUAGGUGGAGCGGUGAAAUGCGUAGAUAUCUAACGGAACGCCAGUGGCGAAAGCGGGUCGCUGGGCUUGUCCUGACGCUGAGACGCGAAAGCGUAGGGAGCAAACGGGAUUAGAUACCCCGGUAGUCUACGCCGUAAACGAUGCGCACUAGGUACGGGAGUCUCUGACGGCGCCCGUGCCGAAGCCAAAGUAUUAAGUGCGCCGCCUGGGGAGUACGGCCGCAAGGCUAAAACUCAAAGGAAUUGACGGGGGCUCACACAAGCGGUGGAGCAUGUGGCUCAAUUCGAAGCAACGCGAAGAACCUUACCCGGGUUCAAGCCUUGGGAUGCCCCCCUGGAAACAGGGUUCGGCUGCUCUUCGGAGUGAAACCUUGGUCGGUGCUGCAUGGCUGUCGUCAGCUCGUGCUGUGAAGUGUUGGGUUAAGUCCCGUAACGAGCGAAACCCUUGUCGUUAGUUGCCAGCGAGUUAUGUCGGGGACUCUAACGAGACUGCCGGUGUCAAACCGGAGGAAGGUGGGGAUGACGUCAAGUCCUCAUGGCCCUUAAGCCCGGGGCGGCACACGUGCUACAAUGGGACGAACAAAGCGACGCAAGACCGUGAGGUGGAGCAAAUCGCAAAAAUCGUUCCUCAGUUCGGAUUGGAGUCUGAA
rnacentral:rRNA from 1 species